AAUGGCGCUAAUCGCAUUCGCCUUGAACAUUCCGAUUCCGUCAAAUUGUUUUUCUCCUCGAGUAUCAACAGUCAGUUUUAACAAUGAAGAGGAAGAGGACCCUAAAAUAUUUAUUUUUUUGCUUGUCUGCAGCCCCACACGCAGCUGUGGUCCUCAUCUAUCAGAGCUGACCAUGCGGAGGAGAAGCUGUGUACAUAUGAGUUUUUUUUUUUGUUUUUUUUUGCUAUGCACCACGUUUGGUGUAGAUUAGUGUAUUACUACUGCCAGUCUUACAUACUUACAUACUUACCUUUUUGCAAUCAAAUGACUAAAACUCAUUUGACUGCAUAGUAGUAUGGGGGAUUGUCUGUAGUAAUGCACUUAUGGAGAGCGGGGCCUGGACAAUUUUUCCAUUUUUUUUUACUUCCCCAAAAUCAGG